rnacentral:rRNA from 1 species
UACAGAGGUCUCAAGCGUUGUUCGGAUUCAUUGGGCGUAAAGGGUGCGUAGGCGGUGAGGUAAGUCGGAUGUGAAAUCCCGGGGCUCAACCCCGGAACUGCAUUCGAUACUGCUUUACUUGAGGACUGGAGAGGAGAUUGGAAUUCACGGUGUAGCAGUGAAAUGCGUAGAUAUCGUGAGGAAGACAGUGGCGAAGGCGAAUCUCUGGACAGAUCCUGACGCUGAGGCACGAAGGCUAGGGGAGCAAACGGG